UACGUAGGGUGCGAGCGUUUAAUCGGAAUUACUGGGCGUAAAGUGUGCGCAGGCGGCCGAGCAAGUCGAGUGUGAAAGCCCCGAGCUUAACUUGGGAAUUGCGCUCGAAACUACUUGGCUGGAGUGUGGCAGAGGAAGGUGGAAUUCCAGGUGUAGCGGUGAAAUGCGUAGAGAUCUGGAGGAACACCGAUGGCGAAGGCAGCCUUCUGGGCCGGUACUGGACGCUGAAGUGCGAAAGCUAGGGGAGCAAACGGGG
rnacentral:rRNA from 1 species